rnacentral:lncRNA from 1 species
UGGCCUUCAAGCCCACAGCUGUCCUAGGGCAAAGUCCCUGAUCUCCCAUGUUCCCUGCCUCCAGGGGAAAAGCCUUACCACUGCUCAAUCUGCGGAGCCCGUUUUAACCGGCCAGCAAACCUGAAAACGCACAGCCGCAUCCAUUCGGGAGAGAAGCCGUACAAGUGUGAGACGUGCGGCUCGCGCUUUGUACAGGUGGCACAUCUGCGGGCGCACGUGCUGAUCCACACCGGGGAGAAGCCCUACCCUUGCCCUACCUGCGGAACCCGCUUCCGCCACCUGCAGACCCUCAAGAGCCACGUUCGCAUCCACACCGGAGAGAAGCCUUACCACUGCGACCCCUGUGGCCUGCAUUUCCGGCACAAGAGUCAACUGCGGCUGCAUCUGCG